rnacentral:rRNA from 1 species
UAGGGAAUCUUCCGCAAUGGGCGAAAGCCUGACGGAGCAACGCCGCGUGAGUGAUGAAGGUCUUCGGAUCGUAAAACUCUGUUAUUAGGGAAGAACAAAUGUGUAAGUAACUAUGCACGUCUUGACGGUACCUAAUCAGAAAGCCACGGCUAACUACGUGCCAGCAGCCGCGGUAAUACGUAGGUGGCAAGCGUUAUCCGGAAUUAUUGGGCGUAAAGCGCGCGUAGGCGGUUUUUUAAGUCUGAUGUGAAAGCCCACGGCUCAACCGUGGAGGGUCAUUGGAAACUGUUUAACUUGAGUGCAGAAGGGGAGAGUGGAAUUCCAUGUGUAGCGGUGAAAUGCGUAGAUAUAUGGAGGAACACCGGUGGCGAAAGCGGCUCUCUGGUCUGUAACUGACGCUGAGGCUCGAAAGCGUGGGGAGCGAACAGG